rnacentral:misc_RNA from 1 species
GUUUCUCAAAUGUUGAAGUUCUUCAAUAACAAAUAGGAAAAAUCAUAAAAAUGGAAGUUAAAUAAGGAAAAUAAUAUUAGAUGGGAAAAUAUUAAUAUUAAAUUCAUUGAAAUUGUUGUACAAUAUCCAUAUUAACAAUUUAAUUGUGUUACCAUGACCUCAAACAAAGACCAUGGUGAAUUUAAUGCUUCUUUGAUGUGUAUGAGCAAGAAACUUAUAACCAGUGAUUUCACAUUUAAUUCAAAUUCUAAAGGAAAAAGGGUUGUAACCUUGUGCUCCACCACACUAGGAAAAAACCACAAGACCUUCACUUUUAACAAAAAUCAGUUCAUAGUAUGAAGAGAUAUUUCCAAGUUUAUCUUUCAAAUUAGGAUAGCACAAGCAAUCAUUGCAGUUUGUUACAAUCAUAAUUAAUUUAUAGGUUAAUUACCAAACACCACCGAGGUUUUUCAUAACAUACACUUAGGUGAUGGCUGUUACAAAAUGAUAAAUUUUGGUCCCUGUGGAUUGUAAAUGACUCUGCACUUUAUCAUAAUACUUGCUAUUUUGCUUUGAAUUUAAUGAAAACUAUAGUAGCAUUCAUAAGAAACUCAGAUAACAAUUCCAAAAAUGCAAAUACUCAC